rnacentral:rRNA from 1 species
UACGUAGGGGGCAAGCGUUGUCCGGAAUCAUUGGGCGUAAAGAGCGUGUAGGCGGCCCGAUAAGUCCGCUGUGAAAGUCCAGGGCUCAACCCUGGAAUGCCGGUGGAUACUGUCGGGCUCGAAUCCGGAAGAGGUGAGUGGAAUUCCCGGUGUAGCGGUGAAAUGCGCAGAUAUCGGGAAGAACACCCGUGGCGAAGGCGGCUCUCUGGGACGGUACUGACGCUGAGACGCGAAAGCGUGGGGAGCAAACAGG